AUCAAGGGCGGGCCGGGCGGGGAGACCUUCGGGUCUGCCGGUGCUCCAGAGAGCCGGUUUGCUACCCCCGCCGUCAGGCCCGCCACCCGU
ncrna:unclassified sequences C4 antisense RNA